GGGAGCCUCCGUUGAGCAUGUGUGUCACUCCAUCCACAGGUCCAUCGUGGCAGUAUUUAAAUACGCCCUUGUCUGGGGCAAGAGCACCAAGUUUAGCCCGCAGCGAGUUGGAAUCCACCACAUAAUGUGUGACGAAGAUGUUAUUCAGAUUGUGACGAAGAAAUAAUCCAGUGUUUAGUUGUAGCAUUGUUUGCCCAAAUAUAUAUAAGCCUCAA